rnacentral:tRNA from 1 species
GCCUGGUUGGCUCAGUCAACAGAGCAUGGGACUCUUGAUCUCGGGGUUGUGAGUUCAAGCCCCACAUUGGGCA